UAAUAAAUGCUUAUUUAACUAAAUUGAGUUUGACCUAAGAUAGUCAAGUAGAAGAAAUGGCUGACAGUUUAUGAAACAUUAUUAUUUUACUCACACCAAAAGAGCUAUUUGUAGAGUUUAUUAAUAGCUGUGUUUUGUCCAAAUGUAGACCAAAUUCCUGUAGAACCCGUCUGCCCAUCCUACAACAUUAUGGUCUGUCCCAGUGAUUUAUGUAUGUCUUUCACCUCAGCAUAAUUCUGAUGGUACAAUCAACAACAUCCUCUGCUACCAUCUCACUCUUAUAAACAUCUUUGCUGUCUCUAGAUAUCCUGGUACUAAACAUUCCUAGCUAAUGGGACUUGCCUAAUUCUGAUUCCUAAAUAGGGUUUCCAAAAUUACUAUUCAGUCAGAUUUUAGAAACCACAGGACUCUAAUUGCAGAAAGAUGGUCCCUUUUGAACUUUAUUCAGUGUACCCUUUAUCUCCUGAGGACCGGGUUGGGGUAGAGAAUGUGUAAUAGUAGAUAUGUCUUAGCAUAUACCAAAAUAAAGGUUUUUUAGGCUUUUUCUGAUGUUGAAUAUGUCAUUAGUAUCAUAGAACCUUGGAACUAGAAGGAACGUUAGAAUAAUCUAAGCCAACUCCUUCAUUUUACAAAUGAGGAAAGUGAAGUACCUAGAGAGGUGAAGGCAGUUGCCCAAGAUCACAUGUAAUUCAAAAACAGAAAGGACCUUUGAGGUCUUCUAGUCCAGACUGCUUAUUUAUGAACAUGAUGAAACUGAAACAUAAAGAAGUUACAUGAUUUGCCCAAAGUAACACAAUGAAUUGUCCUGUCUUUGUUCCCACUAUGACACUGGCCAUGACCAGUUAUGACAUAGUCAUAGCUAAAGACCAGUUCUCCAGGGCUCCCAGUUCAGUGGUUUUAGGGCAGAUUCUUUCAGUAAAUGUCUUUCUAUCUAUUUCAAAUCCACGUGGCUUUUCAUGUUUGCAGCUCAGAAGAUUUUGUGGAGCCCUUUCUGAGGAGGAAAAAGCAGGACCUCCAUCAAGAGUAAUAACGAAACUAAG